rnacentral:rRNA from 1 species
GACGAACCGUGCGACCGUUAUUCGGAAUCACUGGGCUUAAAGCGCGUGUAGGCGGAUGGGUACGUCGGUCGUUGAAAGCCCCCGGCUCAACCGGGGAAUGGGCGCCGAAACGACCCGUCUGGAGGGACGUAGGGGGACCUGGAACUUCCGGUGGAGCGGUGAAAUGCGUUGAGAUCGGAAGGAACGCGCGUGGCGAAAGCGAGGUCCGGGACGUCUACUGACGCUGAGACGCGAAAGCUAGGGUAGCGAACGGG